rnacentral:lncRNA from 1 species
ACCUCAGAUUCGGAGCCACUGGUCCCCCUCAAUGUCUUGCUGUCUCCUCUGGGGACCUGGAAAGUCACCUGACACUAGAGACACUAGACACCGGGAAGGGGGGAGGGAAGAGAAGCUCUAUUUGGAGGAGGCACCUGAGAAGAUGAUAGAAUAAGAUGAACUGUUAAGUUCCAUUGCAUCAGGGAUGUUCAAAGAAAUGGAAACAACUCCAGGCAUUUCAAGAAGGAAGGAAUUUAAUACAGGAGAUGACUUAGCUUUGAGAGAGGCAGCAGGCUGUAAGGUCUCCAGCAGAUGCAGCUGCCUCCAGAACUCUUGCGGCUCACCCAAAAUCGCACAUCUGCCAAAGCCCACAUGUU